rnacentral:rRNA from 1 species
UACAGAGGGGGCAAGCGUUGUUCGGAAUUACUGGGCGUAAAGCGCACGUAGGCGGAUCGAUCAGUCAGGGGUGAAAUCCCAGAGCUCAACUCUGGAACUGCCUUUGAUACUGUCGGUCUAGAGUAUGGAAGAGGUGAGUGGAAUUCCGAGUGUAGAGGUGAAAUUCGUAGAUAUUGGGAGGAACACCAGUGGCGAAGGCGGCUACCUGGACCGGUUCUGACGCUGAUGCGCGAAAGCUAGGGGAGCGAACAGG